rnacentral:lncRNA from 1 species
GCUCAGUUAUAUAGGAUAAAAACAGUUUUCAUAAUAUAAAUUCACUUGGCUCUCCUAGUCCCUAUGUAUAGUCAAGGAAAAGAUCACUUUACCUUAAAUGGAAAGAGGAUAUUCUAGGGUCUGAGACCUGUAUCAGUGUGCCAAGGAAAUGACAUUGUUCUUACCCCUCCAGAAAUUAUCGAUUAUCCAAGACUGAGUUUACCAAUGGAGUGAAAAAUGUCUAAAGAAAGAAUUGAGAGAAGAAAUGGGGAGAAAGAGAUGUGUGCAGACAGGAUGGAAGAGAGGUUGGCACCACGUCCCCGUGCUCACUGCCAGCCAUCCCAUCUGUGGCUGGGCUCCAUUAAGGGAGGAACGGCAAUCUCAGGCUUGGAGGAGUUCCACAGUCAAGAAUGCAGUAGGUAAAGAACAUUCUGGAGGUGAGUGAGCUGGUUCAGUGGAAUAAAAGCAGAGGAUUAAGCAUUCCAAAGCAAAGAAUGGAGGAACCAACAACCAGUGUCACUAACCGUCACAUUUUUGGUGCUAUUUUCUACAUUAAUCAGCUUUCACUAGGUUACAUUUGUAUUCCCGAAGAGCUUCAAUAUCCAUGUGACUUACAACAUAUUUGUUCUUUGCAUAAACUGGUACUUAGUAGCUACGAGAAGAUUCUGGCAGCUCAAUUCCAAGCUGUGGGUUGGAUUCUAGUUUGUUCCAUCUACCUUGUUAUUCUGGAAAUAAGGCUGAAAGAGCACUUUCUACCUCAGAUAUGAUGUUUUCUUGACAGACAACAGGUACACAAGAGGCAGAAAUAAUUUCACCCACACCCAGUGGUCAAAAGACAGAACCUAAA